rnacentral:rRNA from 1 species
CAGCCGCCACGGUAAUACGAAGGGGGCUAGCGUUGUUCGGAAUUACUGGGCGUAAAGCGCACGUAGGCGGAUAUUUAAGUCAGGGGUGAAAUCCCAGAGCUCAACUCCGGGACUGCCUUCGAUACUGGGUAUCUUGAGUAUGGAAGAGGUGAGUGGAAUUCCGAGUGUAGAGGUGAAAUUCGUAGAUAUUCGGAGGAACACCAGUGGCGAAGGCGGCUCACUGGUCCAUUACUGACGCUGAGGUGCGAAAGCGUGGGGAGCAAACAGGAUUAGAUACCCCAGUAGUCCCUGUCUCUUAUAC